rnacentral:rRNA from 1 species
AGUGAACGCUGGCGGUAGGCCUAACACAUGCAAGUCGAACGGCAGCACAGUAAGAGCUUGCUCUUACGGGUGGCGAGUGGCGGACGGGUGAGGAAUACAUCGGAAUCUACUUUUUCGUGGGGGAUAACGUAGGGAAACUUACGCUAAUACCGCAUACGACCUACGGGUGAAAGCAGGGGAUCUUCGGACCUUGCGCGAUUGAAUGAGCCGAUGUCGGAUUAGCUAGUUGGCGGGUUAAAGGCCCACCAAGGCGACGAUCCGUAGCUGGUCUGAGAGGAUGAUCAGCCACACUGGAACGGAGACACGGUCCAGACUCCUACGGGAGGCAGAAGUGGGGAAUAUUGGACAAUGGGCGCAAGCCUGAUCCAGCCAGACCGCGUAGGUGAAGAAGGCCUUCGGGUUGUAAAGCCCUUUUGUUGGGAAAGAAAAGCAGCAGGUUAAUACCCCGCUGUUCUGACGGUACCCAAAGAAUAAGCACCGGCUAACUUCGUG